GUCAACACAGCCUACCAUACAUCGCCGCGGUUUCGACAAGUCACGUGGUAACGAAUAGUGCGAGCUAGCGCCAAAUCCCAUAGCCAAGCGGCGAUUGCCAGAACUACUACCCCGGUGCUGGGAGCAUUGCGGCUGUCCAGGUCUCUAGUAUAGUAGUAGGUAGUAGGUCAUGCAUAUGAAAAAGAAAGAAACCUAUCACAGUGAGCUUCCGGCAGUGGCAGCAGGUAUGCAGCGUAGGUGCGGGGUGGGGGUUACGGCGGUUACGGUUACGGCUACGAGACUGCUUGGCACCAUUAUACAAUCCAUUUCACCAAUUUUCUCUGCUGAAAAAUGCUCAUGUUUUGAAUGAACGUGUUUUCUUCUUUUUUUUUCAUGACGCAAAAGCUAAUGUGACCAAUGCGCCAAUGGCCCAAAUGCAAUGCGAGGGCGGCGCUCCUGUUCCAGUGCUCUCCCAUUUUCUGUUUGGAAUUUGGAAAGCUGGGAGGUUGUUGUUGUUGUUGUGCGUUGUACUGGUUGCACUGUUGUACUGGUUGUACUUUGUUGGAGGCCUGUUAUUAGUUUGCUGCUCAGAGUGCUGUGACUGGCUGCGUGCUGUGUGAGUUUCGCGGUUUCGCUCAAUAGCAGCAUGUCACGGAGUGUGGGAACGAGGUGUCGCGUUCCUGGCUGCAAAAAGUCGUCUGGGACAAACCCAGAAUUGACGUUUCACGGACCUAAGGACAGCGCCACGAAGCGAAAGUGGGAAGCCGUAAUCGCGGACAGCUUUUCUAUCGUAGCAGCAGAUUUGCACGUUCGGCACAUUUGUUCCUUGCAUUUUGCCGAUGAAGCGUAUCUGGAGGCCGAAAUAUUGAAAGUCCGUAUGGGGCUGGCUAGAAAAAGAAAGCGACUGAAGCCCAAUGCAAUGCCCUCAUUGUUUCAAAUAGGAACCACCGACAUGCCGGACGAGCAGGUGGAGUCAAGCAGCAUAAUUGAAUCUGCUUCAGCUGCCACUCAAACCUGCAUCGUGAUGCAAAGCAGGGGAACUCAGACGAGCACGACCCUCCCGCCCACCAGGACAAUCUCCUUUGCACCGUCAGAAGUUAAGGCUGAAUGUCAAGAGGGCAGUGCGUAGGUUUUCUCUGCAGAGGAUUUGCUGUGUCAUGUGGACGUAGCACAGGUUAGUGAUGCCUCACUGGAACACGGCAGCCCUUCGACAUCGCCCCCUGGCUGCAAUGUCCGUGCCUCCCACUCCAGCGUCUGUGGACUUGAACACCGCAGGUGUAUUCACGUGCCCAUCUGACGUUCCAGUCGUCUGCAACAGCAGGAAGCUCACACAAAGGGCUCGAAGGUGACGGAUAGGAGAAGUCGCAGCAAUGAGGGCUUCCAAAGUGUCGUAGGCAUCAACUGCUAUGCAUUAGCCCUGAUUACCAAGAUGCUGAUACGUAUCCGAGAGCACCGAAGGGAGCCUGGGCCUGCGGGAACUGUGCCGCCACUAUCAUCAGCGUAUGGUGAGAGGAAAAACCCUUGCGGAAGCAAUCCAGAAGCACCACGCAAGGUUCUAGGAGUGAGGCUUCAAUCUGCAUCACACACCUCAAAAGCCACGGAAACUAUGACGGAAAAAAGAAAAAAAAGGCUCUUUUCAGGGCUACGAUGUCUUAUGCACAGACUAGCAUUGCGUUAUGAAGCUACCAGCAUGCACAUACAGUCAUGUCUAGAGAUGCGAAGACCCGGAAAAACCCUCAGGAAAUUUUGGGGGAAAAAAACAGUUUUCUUCGGGUUUUUUCUUCGUCGUCUCCAGAAAAAGAGCCCAAAAUUUCCAAGCGACAAAAUUCAAAAAUGUAAAUUUUCGUGCCUUUGAUGCAUUCCAACCCGCCAACAGUGCCUUAGGUGCCUCUAAUCCGCCAACAAACACCAACUUAGAGCUCCGUCUGGCCGCACCAGGCGAUCGCCAUCGCGUUCACGUAAUGUCGUAGUGGACAGGUUGUUAUAACUACCUGUCGCUGAGUAGACAGCAGUCUCAUGGGAUGCUCUGCUCAGCAUUUAUGCCUAGAGGAUGAACACUACUAAAGCUUCUAGCUCAUUGUAUGCUGUGGUUUCGCCGGCAAUGCUUCGAAUCAGCAGUAACCACAUUUAUUUCAAUUUUUCUGAAAAAAAAACUUUUUUUUUUUUUUGAGCGAUUCGAAAUUUCCGGAAAUCUUGCAUCUCUAGUCGUGUCUCGAUUAUACGGACACCUCGGGAGUCGCGCUUUUUCGUCCGGAUUACGAAUUUCCAGGUAACCGAACCAAGCAAACUUCCAGGAAAAAAUUUGGGAGACCUCUUUAUAGCUCCAGAAAAGAAAACAAGGAAAAGAUCGUUCUUAAAAAACUAACGGGAAAUUAGCCGCUUCAAAUAGCACACGUUUGACAAAAAUUUUUGUAACAGCCAUGGCACCCGCUGCGUAAUCCUGCUGUUCCAAGAAGGGUCGUGUCACAGAAAGUUGGUCCCGUGCGCAUGUUUUUGUCUUUUUGCAAACUCCUUUGGCAUGGGCAAAAAGAGAAGGCAAUGUUUUCGGACGACCUGGACAUUGAUGUUCAUGUGUGGAUUUCUUGUGUCUGAUGGACACAGGGCAUCUUUUCCGCUUAUCGUCUGCCAUCUCUACCGUGUGCUCGCACAUACCAAAAGGGAGUGACCCCUGAAGAAAGGGGAGUCAAACAGAAAGCACAAAAGGCCCAGUAAGAUGUGAACCUUUUCCAGAAUAAUGCGAACACAGCACAUGCCAGGGACAGAGGACGUUGAGACUUUUUAAUCAGUUAAUCAAUCAAUUUAUUGAGCUCCCAAAAGUCCCAUACGGGCGUUACAUGGGAGGAGUGGGUUACAGGAAGUGAGGAAAAAGAUAAUACAUAGAAAAAAAAGGCAGUAAAACAGCAACAACAAAUGGAAACGACAACAACGUUACACAAGUAGGUUACGCAAGGUAUCAUAAAUGACGCAAGAUUUAUUAACUUGAAAUAGAAUUACGAAAUUGAGACAGGGCAGUUAUGGUAACGAUGUGUGGCGGGAGGUUAUUCCAAUCAAUGGCAGUCUUGGGGGGAAAAAGGAAUUUGAAAAUGAUUGAGUGUUACAUUUUAAGUGGGCGACUUUGAGUUCGUGGUCGAUGCGAGAUGGAUGCGAUGGACUUUUCCGGAUAAGCGAAACAGAAUGAUCUAGGUCCUCGAAGAUUGUUCCCCAUACUUGCUGUCCGGAUACGAUAAUGAAUUCCGGAAAUCCGACACAAAAUCGAAUGGGUGCUGGUUCGUUCCCGAGAAUGUAGUCCAGAUAACUAGUUCUCUGAAUAUCUGAACUGUAGUGAAUGUGAAAGUGAGACAGUGCUGUAGUUGUUUUUGAUACAGUUUGAUACCGUUCUGGAUUACGUUGCUGAUUCUAAGGAACUGCCUAGCACAGCAUGCAUUUGUAGAAUUUUGAGUCGGGGACUGAAAGCAAAACGAUUGCCGGUUCGGUUACGGUUACAGAUCAGUGCCGGAACUCUGAAUGUGAUUACAGUUUCGAGAUUCACCGUUCUAAUAUUUGCAGUUACGGGCGCUACCACUGUGACUACAAUUUCAGAGCACAAUGUGUUCAUUUUUCAGGAAACUCACACACACUGGCUUGAUGUAACAACAAAAUAAAACUUACUGUGACGUCUCGA